rnacentral:lncRNA from 1 species
GUCCACAGGACAGAGAGGAGGAGGCCGCGAGAACUGCUUCCUACAUGUCCCCACCCCUCUCACUGCUGUAGCUUCAGGGCAGAAGAGCCACAGAGCCAAAUGCUGCAGAGAUGAAGGGAGACGGAAAGAGCCAAAUGCUGCAGAGAUCAAGGGAGACGGAAGGAUGUCGCCUCCAGAGCUGGGGCCACGGGCAGCGCCAGGGCAGGUUCAUCACUGAUGGCAAGUCUGUGGCUGACCACGUUCACAGGGGUGGCCCUGAGCAAAGGUCGGACAUGAGGACCCAGGAGAAUUCAGGCCCCGGCUCUGGGACGGCUGUGCACCCCCACCCUGGCCGUGGCUGGCACCUCAGAAGGCACAGCUGUCCUUCACUCGCACGGAGCAACCUCGGGACAGAUGGUGGGAGAGGAAGGGCAACUCGAGGAGGCACAUUUUAGGAAACUGCCCACGGAGCCAGUUUCGAUUCUCCAAACCUCGUCAGCAUGCAGAGGCUCCCUGACUCGGCAGCAAGGAGGGCCUCAUCAGCCGACCCCCAUGCCCGGCACCCCCUUCACCAGUGGGUAAACUAUGCUCGCCACCACUCAGCACUCACCUCUUGGGCUCAGAGGGCAGAAAGUCUGACCCUUCUCUCUUAAAAGCAGGGUCCUGAAAACUCCAGAGAGCAGUGCCCUGUGCAUUAAACACAGACUGCGCCCUUGUACUCAGGAGGAUGCAAUUCUCUCUCUAAAGUCGAGAGCUCACCACCCCGGGCGUUCGUCACUGCAGACAUCACUGCAGACACAGAGACGGCCAUUAGAGCUCACCACCCCGGGCGUUCGUCACUGCAGACAUCACUGCAGACACAGAGAAGGCCAUUAGAGCUCACCACCCCGGGCGUUCGU